rnacentral:rRNA from 1 species
GAUGAACGCUGGCGGCGUGCCUAAUACAUGCAAGUCGAGCGAACGGACGAGAAGCUUGCUUUUCUGAUGUUAGCGGCGGACGGGUGAGUAACACGUGGAUAACCUACCUAUAAGACUGGGAUAACUUCGGGAAACCGGAGCUACUACCGGAUAAUAUUUUGAACCGCAUGGUUCAAAAGUGAAAGACGGUCUUGCUGUCACUUCUAGAUGGAUCCGCGCUGCAUUAGCUAGUUGGUAAGGUAACGGCUUACCAAGGCAACGAUGCAUAGCCGACCUGAGAGGGUGAUCGGCCACACUGGAACUGAGACACGGUCCAGACUCCUACGGGAGGCAGCAGUAGGGAAUCUUCCGCAAUGGGCGAAAGCCUGACGGAGCAACGCCGCGUGAGUGAUGAAGGUCUUCGGAUCGUAAAACUCUUUUAUUGGGGAAGAACAUAUGUGUAAGUAACUGUGCACAUCUUGACGGUACCUAAUCAGAAAGCCCCGGCUAACUACGUG